AAAAUCCAGAAAAUAAGGUUAUUGAAGGAGAAUGAAAACAGUGUCCUGCAGCAGCUGAAGGCAGUUUCAGGGAAAACAUUCUGGUGACAGAUGGCAAUUGCUAGAAGGCUUUGAUGGUGCCUUUGAUGUGCCACUGAUGGAAAAACUGG